rnacentral:lncRNA from 1 species
GGGCAACAGACUCACUGCUGGGGUCCUCGGUUCCUUGGGUCCGAACCUACACAGGUGGACUCAAAUGAGGGACCAUACAUACAUGAACAUAACUCUAAACUACUCCCCAAAAACCCCCUAAAACAUCAUGAAACAAUCAUAGAAAAAUAUGCAAGAAAUGGCUGAACAGGGCACUUUCGGCGGCAGGUUCGGCGGCAGGUUCGGCGGCCGAAAGUCCCUCCAGAGCCGAAAGUCAGGCAGGUUCGGCGACCGAAACUCCCAGACAGAGAUGAAAGUCUCCUUUCGGGGGCAAGCUUCAGCAGCCGAAGGCUGCCUCCACAAGCAUAUUCGGCGGCCGAAAGUUCCUUCGGCUGCCGAACCUGGUUUCUCCCAGAAUGGCAGAAACUCAGCUCCCCUAUGCAUUUAUGCCUCCUAUCUCAUCCAAACAUGCAUAAACCUAUUCUACAACAUUCCUCAAUCAUGCACAAGCAAACAUACAAGUUCCUAGGGGCAUCAAACCAUCAAAAACCCCAACUACAACACACAAGCAACUCACAUUGUCCAAAAACACAAUUAAAACCCAUAAACCUAACUAUGAGCUAAACAUGCAUUCUACCCCAUAGAUCUUGCAUAAAACUUACUUUAAACAUGAAAUGAGCUUAAGAUCGGCUCUUACCUCUUGAAGAUCGAGAGAGAGACGUCCUAAACUCGGAGGUGGGAGAUUUUUGGGUUCUUGAACCUCAAAGCUCCAAAACUUGCUUAAAACUCAAAAAUCUUCAAAACAAAGUAAAAACUUGUGAAAAAUUCGAAAGAUCUGAAGGAAAAGACUCAAGAUCGGUGAGGGGUGGCGGAGAACUCACCUUGGCCGGAAAUGGGGAAAAAACUCGCCCGUUUUCGGCUAAGGGACCCUUUUAUAGUGGCUGGCCAGGCCACGUUCGGAGG